GAUGAACGCUGGCGGCGUGCCUAAUACAUGCAAGUCGAGCGAACGGACGAGAAGCUUGCUUUUCUGAUGUUAGCGGCGGACGGGUGAGUAACACGUGGAUAACCUACCUAUAAGACUGGGAUAACUUCGGGAAACCGGAGCUAAUACCGGAUAAUAUUUUGAACCGCAUGGUUCAAAAGUGAAAGACGGUCUUGCUGUCACUUAUAGAUGGAUCCGCGCUGCAUUAGCUAGUUGGUAAGGUAACGGCUUACCAAGGCAACGAUGCAUAGCCGACCUGAGAGGGUGGUCGGCCACACUGGAACUGAGACACGGUCCAGACUCCUACGGGAAGCAGCAGUAGGGAAUCUUCCGCAAUGGGCGAAAGCCUGACGGAGCAACGCCGCGUGAGUGAUGAAGGUCUUCGGAUCGUAAAACUCUGUUAUUAGGGAAGAACAUAUGUGUAAGUAACUGUGCGCAUCUUGACGGUACCUAAUCAGAAAGCCACGGCUAACUACGUG
rnacentral:rRNA from 1 species